GGCGACCCCGGAAGUCCCCGCCGGGUGCAGCUUGGUCGGUUCGAUCGCCGCCGGGACCUGACACCGCCCGGAGUUGGCGUCCCUUCUCCCUCUCCGAGUGCUGCUCCUGUCAUUGUGGCCAUGGACGAUACCCUGUUCCAGUUGAAGUUCACGGCGAAGCAGCUGGAGAAGCUGGCCAAGAAGGCGGAGAAGGACUCCAAGGCGGAGCAGGCCAAAGUGAAGAAGGCCCUUCUGCAGAAAAAUGUAGAGUGUGCCCGUGUGUAUGCCGAGAACGCCAUCCGCAAGAAGAACGAAGGUGUGAACUGGCUUCGGAUGGCGUCCCGCGUAGACGCAGUGGCCUCCAAGGUGCAGACAGCUGUGACUAUGAAGGGGGUGACCAAGAAUAUGGCCCAGGUGACCAAAGCCCUGGACAAGGCCCUGAGCACCAUGGACCUGCAGAAGGUCUCCUCAGUGAUGGACAGGUUCGAGCAGCAGGUGCAGAACCUGGACGUCCAUACAUCGGUAUGUGGCCCCUACCCUUGGGGCUGUGGCCUGGGGACAAGGAGCGUGUGUGGGCAGCUCAUCGGGAGGGGUGGCUCACAGGCUGACGUGCUGUCUCUGCAUACCUGUGGUUGCUCCCUGACGUCACCAAGCAUCCUCUGUGCUGGGUCCCUGCCAGGACCCUGACAGGUGAUGGAGGACUCCAUGAGCUCGGCCACCACCCUGACCACGCCGCAGGAGCAGGUGGACAGCCUCAUCAUGCAGAUCGCCGAGGAGAAUGGCCUGGAGGUGCUGGACCAGCUCAGCCAGCUGCCCGAGGGCGCCUCUGCCGUGGGCGAGAGCUCUGUGCGCAGCCAGGAGGACCAGCUGUCACGGAGGUUGGCCGCCUUGAGGAACUAGCCGUGCCCCGCCGGUGUGCACCGCCUCUGCCCCGUGAUGUGCUGGAAGGCUCCUGUCCUCUCCCCACCGCGUCUUGCCUUUGUGCUGACCCCGCGGGGCUGCGGCCGGCAGCCACUCUGCGUCUCUCACCUGCCAGGCCUGCGUGGCCUUAGGGUUGUUCCUGUUCUUUUAGGUUGGGCGGUGGGUCUGUGUCCUGGUGUUGAGUUUCUGCAAAUUUCUGGGGGUGAUUUCUGUGACUCUGGGCCCACAGCGGGGAGGCCAAGAGGGGCCCUGUGGACUUUCACCCAGCACUGUGGGGGCCUUCAGACUCUGGGGCAGCAGACAUGCUGCUUCCCAUCAGCCAGAGGGGGUCAGGGCUGCCCUGUUGCCAAACAACUCCCUGAGGCCUCUCCGCACCACCUCAGCGGGCAGGAGGUCCCACCAUGUGGACAGACAUAGCCCAAGGAGGCACCACAGGUCUAUGUGUGCUGGGGGAUGUCAGGUGCCACCCAACGCUGUCCUGGUGGUAUUUACAAUGACAUCCUCCUCCUCCAUCACUCCAGGGGUGGUGUCUCGGCCGCCCCUACCAGCUGGCUGAGCCCCCUGGCCUCCUGCGCUCCCUCACUUCCCUCAGUUCCCAAAGCUGCCCAGUCCAUGGGGACAGAACCGUCACUCAGAUCCACAUUCAAGUGUGCCCACCCUGCAGUCUUCAUCCUCACUCAGCUGCUGCCUCUGGAGGUGCCUUUGGCCACAUGUGCUGUGCUGUUUGUCUCCUCGACAGGGAGCCUGUCCACCAGCAGGCUGCGGUCCCAGCGGGUGCGUCUGCAGCUCCUCCCCUUGGGCAGCCUGGUUCUCCCGGAGGACCUUUCCUUGGGGCCCUGCUUCAUGACGAUGCUGCCUGUGUCACCCUCUACCAUCUGUAAACAACUGGGUGCCUUCCCCGACCACACCCCAAUGCCUUCCCAGCUUGGAAGCCAAGGCAGCUGAUGAAGGGAGCUCAGGAGAGCCGUCUUCAGCUGGGCUGGGGUUGGGGCUGCUGUGAGGAAAACCUGCCAUUGUGGCCCUGGAGAGUCACCAGCAGCUCUUGGGAAGGACUUGCUGGGAGGCUGAGAGAGGCUUUGGGCACAGCCUGCUGUCUUUUCCAUUUCCUAAAGUUUACUUCAUUGUCUUGAGGCUUCCAGGUUUUGUUUUUGUUUUUGCCAAAGUAGAAAAGGCAGGUGGUGGGCGGCUGGCAGGGAGUGCGGGUCCCCGCCCCUCUUCAGUCCUGCCCUCCCCUCCUCAGUCCUGCCCACCCCGUGCAGCCCAUGCUGAGGCUGCAGUGGUGUCGUGGGUGUUACGUGCAGGAACGUGGAGACCCUGACGUGGGCUCACUGCGUUUGGUUUUCUUUUCAGAACUUGGGAGCCCCCAGGGAGGGGCUAGUGUUGGUAGGUCCUAGACGUGGUUCCCUCCAGCCUCCCCAAAAUCAACCCUGGUGUUGAGAGAACGUCCUUCUGUCCAUCGUGGGUAACAGCCUUGGGGAGGGUGCAGAGCUCUGCAGAGCCAUGGGCCAGGUGGGGCUGCCUCAGUCCUGUCCCCUUGGGCACUGAGGAGAGGGGCCCAUUCACCUUUCUCCUAGAAUGCUGUUGUAAAUAAACAAAUGGAUCCCUGGAAA